GACGAAGGGGGCUAGCGUUGCUCGGAAUGACUGGGCGUAAAGGGCGCGUAGGCGGUUUGUACAGUCAGAUGUGAAAUUCCUGGGCUUAACCUGGGGGCUGCAUUUGAUACGUGCAGACUUGAGUGAGGAAGAGGGUUGUGGAAUUCCCAGUGUAGAGGUGAAAUUCGUAGAUAUUGGGAAGAACACCGGUGGCGAAGGCGGCAACCUGGUCCUUGACUGACGCUGAGGCGCGAAAGCGUGGGGAGCAAACAGG
rnacentral:rRNA from 1 species